UACGAAGGGGGCUAGCGUUGCUCGGAAUUACUGGGCGUAAAGGGCGCGUAGGCGGCACUGUUAGUCAGGCGUGAAAGUCCUGGGCUCAACCUGGGAACUGCGCUUGAUACGGCAGAGCUAGAGGAUGGAAGAGGCUCGCGGAAUUCCCAGUGUAGAGGUGAAAUUCGUAGAUAUUGGGAAGAACACCGGUGGCGAAGGCGGCGAGCUGGUCCAUUACUGACGCUGAGGCGCGA
rnacentral:rRNA from 1 species